rnacentral:lncRNA from 1 species
AAAAAUCCUGCACUAGCCUCCUGAUGUUGGGCUAUCUCCUCUCAUCCCAUAUUCUUUUUUCAUGCUUCCGUUUGCUGCUGAUGUCAUCAUGUCACUUUCUUGUCAACACCAUCCAGUUCAACUUUUCAAGUAGGCUACUGUAAUGAUGUCCUAGUGUUCUCAUGAUAAUCGAAGAAGGUUUUGUUGGUAAUGCUAAUAUGGUAUGUAUGCAAAGGGCAGAAUGCACGGUAGCCUUGUUUGCUUUUGCAAUUACAUUCGCCUUGCAACCUGACAUUUUUCACAGAACCAAAGAUAUGUUGGGUAGCUCGAAUUUACGGGCACGUUAACAUAUGCCAACCCAAGUUGCCAGUGACAAGAGCAUAACAUUGCGAGAGCACUUCCAACGAGAAAGCAUGCUUCACGCUCACAGAUGCUAGCAGGUACAGAAAGAUAGUCAAACACAAACACGCGCUUCAAUACUUUGAUGAAGUACCAGUAUCCUACAUUGCCCAUGAACCCCAGCGUUUUACAGCGAGUGCUGGGUAGAUUUUAUGUCCAAUCAGAACGCCUUGAUAAUGAGGUUUUAGGUUCACACAUUGAAGAUAGCAUUUGGUUGGCAGGAUGCGGCGAUCAAUUUGAGUGCAACUGGGCAUCCUUGCUGGUGAGAGGCACAUAGCGCACAGACGUCUCGUCUCUUAUGCUGACACCGUCGUCUAGAUUCUUGUCAACCACCUUCAGCUCCUGGAAGAUGGUCCCAACCGGGAUCACCAUUCUGCCACCAGGCUUCAGCUGCUCGAUUAACGCCUCUGGAAUCUGCGGUGCUGCAGCUCCGACAUGGAUGCAGUCAUAUGGUGCAAGCUCGGGCCAGCCUUCCCUACCAUCUGCAUCAGUUGCAAGCAUUAUAGUUUGAGAUAAACCAUAGUAAUAUGGGCACAAUUAGUCAAUUACUAAGGGAUUCCAUAAAAAAAAUGAAGCAUACACAUAAAAGAAAUGUAAAGGGAACAACUGUAUGGUAUGGUGAAACAACAGACUCACUUUUCUCUUCUCUUCUCUACUCUUUUUUUUUACUUAAAAAAUAAGUAGUGUUCCUUUUCCUGCCAGGCAGAACUCUUUGUCAAUCGGUUCCCCCCUCUCACCACGUCUCUUUAUCGAUUUUUUUUUCAUCCAGCCGGUUUGUUUUUCACCAUGCCAUAUUUGACCGCACCUUCCCAGUACAUCACUCAAUAACAUUAAUUUACUUACCUUUUGCACCAAUUCCACCUUAGUUUACUUACCAAACUUCUCAUAAAACUAUAAGGUAACUCAUGGGCAGGAUUUGACAAACAUUUAGGGCCUCUUUGAUUCACAGGAUUCUGAAAAGAAAAAAGUAUAGGAUUGGACUGGCAUAUCCACUUAAAUCCAAUAGGAUUAGCAAGGAGUGUUUGAUGCCACAGAAAAAAUAAAGAAAUUGUAAAAAGAGGUUGGAGUGGAUGUUAGAUUUCAUAUGAAAUGUAGUACAAAAGAUUCCAUACGAAAAAUUCCUAUGGAAUCCAAUCCUAUGAAUCAAAGGACCAACGUAGGAAAUAUUCCUAAGGAUUUCAAUCCUCCAAAAAUCCUAUAGAAUUCUUUUGAAUCAAAGGAGCCCUUAGUUGGACAAUCACAUUAAUGUGGGCAGAUAAAUCACGAGCUAACGUACUAGAAUAUAUAUCCCGUUGCAACGCUUGUGCAUUGUCCUAGUUGAAGAAUAGAAUGCUAGCUUGUUACUACGUUAACCCCAACUGAAAUAAGCACCCCAUGUAGGAUAUAGCUGAAGAAAUCCUCAUAUCAAAUUUGUAUAUGUAUAUAUAUACAAAACCUGAUAAUUAGUUUGUAUGCCCAUCUAAACAUGGUUCUAGAAAUAGUACUUGCCAUGAUGGAAGCAAAGUAGAUGAUUGAAAAUGUCAGACUUGGUCUACUUACCAGCAAUAUGAAUACUGAGGGAUCCAUCAUUCAGCUGUGGGGCUGCUGCACUUUUCUUGAUGUUUUCGGUAGAAGAAGCAACCAACUCUGGUAUGUGUUCAACACCAACUGCUCGUCCCCCCGGUCCAACCAUAAGUGCAAAGCAAGCUGUUAGGUACCCAGUGCCUGUCAAUUUACCGAUACCAACCAGUGAGUUUAGGACAAAGGUAUUAAGCAUUUCGGCCACUAAAACAAGCUAGUAUUAUCAUUCGGUCAGAAGGAAAUGAUCUGACAGAUAUCAGCAUUACUACAAAAUCUUCAAAGUUUAGUGUUAAAAGGUGUGGAUGACAUGCCGGCGAAAUGCCUGUCAUAUGUUUUCUUAGGUAGGCCUCUCAUACUGUUUUGAUAGACUUCAUUGCAUUCUAAACUUUAGAGAUACAGGUUGCUAAAUUUGUGGAAUGACAUCAGUCACGAACAUCACCUUAUGCUGCCAUACAAAUUCAGAUAUUUCAGUUGAACAGAUUGAACAUACUCAAGUCUUACGUACCUGAUCCAACAUCCAGAGCCCGCAUACCAGGCUGCAGAUGAUCCUCCAGGAGCUCCAGGCAAGCAGCAUGCAUGUGAGGCGCAGAUAUGGUUGCGUUGUAGCCAAUUGCCAUUGGGCUAUCAAAAUAGGGAGAACCACCCGGAGGCACAAACAGCCCCCUAUCGAUGGUCUCCAUGACCUCCGCAACUUUGGUCGACUUGAUUACCCCAUAUCUCUGCAGUUGCUCAACCAUGGCCUUGUUCUUGUCGCUAGCUCCGCUCGACCACAGUCCAUGCUAUCACAGUGUCCCCACCAGCAGAAACAUGAAACACAUAUAAUUAGUCGACUUUGCCAUUCUAAACGGUGUCAAAUUCAGCGAACGAAACUGGUUCCCUAUGAUUGACAAAUUAAAUAAAGUUUAUAUGGAUCAUGCCAUAAGAGAACAAUCUUAACUCGCUUGCACAAUGGUAGUUGAAAAUGUUUACCAAGCAGAUGCUUGGAAUAGCCAGCCUGUCGGUCUUUCCAUUUGGAUGAUUCCCACCAUCCACAUUUCGAGCCUAAAAAAUGAUCAUCACACUUACAAGAUUGAGACUACGGGUCCAAAGGGACUCAGUGGGAUCCAACCAAAGCCCCUCAGCCAGAUGAUCUCACCAAAUAAAAAAAAAUAUGUACCCAAGGAAGUUGGCACUGCGACAACCAAACCAUGUGCUCUAACAAUUUUCCUCCAAUUAGAACUCUAAUUCUGCUUCUUCGAUCGGACUCCCCCCCUCAAUUCUGCU